UAACGCUAUUGAUUUUUUUCUGUAUUCCAUAUUUCACAAAUUCGGAUCUUGCUAAUAAUCUAGAUUCAUAUCCAAAUCCUUAAA
rnacentral:tRNA from 1 species